rnacentral:rRNA from 1 species
GACGUAGGGUGCGAGCGUUGUCCGGAUUUAUUGGGCGUAAAGAGCUCGUAGGCGGCUCGUCGCGUCGACCGUGAAAACCCACAGCUUAACUGUAGGCUUGCGGUUGAUACGGGCGGGCUAGAGUUCGGUAGGGGAGACUGGAAUUCCUGGUGUAGCGGUGAAAUGCGCAGAUAUCAGGAGGAACACCGAUGGCGAAGGCAGGUCUCUGGGCCACUACUGACGCUGAGAAGCGAAAGCAUGGGGAGCGAACAGG